UUCCAUGGCAACAACAAAGCCAUUAUAUUCUAAAGGCCAAGCCAGAGCUCCGCCCCCUCAUCCUCACCACUGCUGGCAUCUUAUUGCAGCCUUCCAAAAUAAACUUGCUGUCUAAUGUAAAUCCCGUAUAAUUAGAGAUGAGCUAAUCGGUGCCCCGCAGCUUUUGUGCAGCCCACGCAUCAUGCAGGGAUUCUGGAACAGCGGUGGUGACCGAUUGUUUGAUGUCAGAUCUUCCUCCCCCAGGGACUGGGAGCUGUCUCAAUCCACAUGCGCGGGACCCUCCAACCAGAAGUCCCCUGACUUGCCAGGCACUUGGGUCUUGGCAGGAAGGGGAACCCAGGAGAUGUCACAUGGAUGUUGCCACCAGGAGGAGAGAGAGUGUCAUCCACAGCAGAG
rnacentral:lncRNA from 1 species